ACCUGCGGAGGGAUCAUUACCGAGUUUACAACUCCCAAACCCCUGUGAACAUACCUAUAAUUUGCCUCGGCAGACUCAACGACGGUGCUCCGAGAAAUCGGGCGCCGCUCGCUGCCAGAGGAACCCCAAACUCUAUGUAUUCUUGUGGAUCUUCUGAGUAAAACAAAACAAAUAAAUCAAAACUUUCAACAACGGAUCUCUUGGUUCUGGCAUCGAUGAAGAACGCAGCGAAAUGCGAUAAGUAAUGUGAAUUGCAGAAUUCAGUGAAUCAUCGAAUCUUUGAACGCACAUUGCGCCCGCCAGUAUUCUGGCGGGCAUGCCUGUUCGAGCGUCAUUUCAACCCUCAAGCCCUAGGCUUGGUGUUGGGGAUCGGCGAUAGUCGCCGUCCCCCAAAUCUAGUGGCGGUCUCGCUGUAGCCUCCAUUGCGUAGUAGCUAACACCUCGCAAUUGGAACGCGGCGCGGCCAAGCCGUUAAACCCCCAACUUCUGAAUGUUGACCUCGGAUCAGGUAGGAAUACCCGCUGAACUUAAGCAUAUCAAUAA
rnacentral:rRNA from 1 species